rnacentral:piRNA from 1 species
UUACCGGUGAUUUUAGAAAGUACGGGC